rnacentral:rRNA from 1 species
CUACGGGAGGCAGCAGUGGGGAAUAUUGGACAAUGGGCGAAAGCCUGAUCCAGCGACGCCGCGUGUGUGAAGAAGGCCUGCGGGUUGUAAAGCACUUUUAGUGGGGAUGAAAAGCUCGGGACCAAUACCCCCGGGUCUUGACCUAACCUACAGAAAAAGCACCGGCUAACUCUGUGCCAGCAGCCGCGGUAAUACAGAGGGUGCGAGCGUUAAUCGGAAUUACUGGGCGUAAAGCGCGCGUAGGCGGUUUCGUAAGUCGGAUGUGAAAUCCCCGGGCUCAACCUGGGAAUUGCAUUCGAGACUGCGAGGCUAGGGUGCGGAAGAGGGAAGUGGAAUUUCCGGUGUAGCGGUGAAAUGCGUAGAUAUCGGAAGGAACAUCAGUGGCGAAAGCGACUUCCUGGUCCAGCACCGACGCUCAGGCGCGAAAGCGUGGGGAGCAAACAGGAUUAGAUACCCCAGUAGUCC